AGUUCAAAGACACAGAAAAUUAGAAUCUUACCAAUGGCGGGUCGUGAUCCUGAAGGCCAACACACACAAGUGAUGAAGAAGAAAGAAGAACGCUUGAGGGCUUCCACUCAACGGGAGUCUCAGGGAAUCCAUCUGCGGGAGAAGCGCUACCAGGAGUGGCCAAGUGUCUCCUACCAGGACCCUGGCAGUGACAGUGCAGAGGAGGAAGGCAAGCACACCUUCAGCCUGGCUGCUAUUAAAAACUAUUAUCAAGGUGAACUCCAAAGUGAGUCAGGUAAACCUUCCAGAAAGAGGAAAGCAGAGCAUGAAGAGGAAGAAGAUGAUAUAAAGCCCUAAAAUGUGCACUCAUUGUAUUCAAUAGUUUGUUUUAAAACAAUUAUGAAAUGACUUGUUUUAACUGAAGUUGAGUUGCUUUUGCAUAAUCCUAGUUGUGAAUAAAAAGUUUUCAAAAGCAA